rnacentral:rRNA from 1 species
UACGAAGGGUGCAAACGUUGCUCGGAAUUAUUGGGCGUAAAGCGCACGUAGGCGGCUUUGCAAGUCGGAAGUGAAAUCCCUCGGCUCAACCAAGGAAGUGCUUUCGAAACUGCAGAGCUUGAGUACUUAAGAGGAUCGCGGAAUUCUCGGUGUAGAGGUGAAAUUCGUAGAUAUCGGGAGGAACACCAGUGGCGAAGGCGGCGACCUGGACAGAUAUUGACGCUGAGGUGCGAAAGCGUGGGGAGCAAACAGG